rnacentral:rRNA from 1 species
AACGAACGCUGGCGGCGUGCCUAACACAUGCAAGUCGAGCGCGAAUGGAGCAAUCCUAGUAGAGCGGCGCACGGGUGCGUAACACGUGGGUAAUUUGCCUGGGAGACCGGAAUAACUUGCCGAAAGGCUGGCUAAUACCGGAUAAGCCCACGGGAUCUUCGGAUUCUGAGGGAAAAGUUGGCCUCUGCAUGCAAGCUAACACUUCCAGAUGAGCCCGGGGCCCAUCAGCUAGUUGGCGGGGUAAUGGCCCACCAAGGCCACGACGGGUAGCUGGUCUAGGAGGACGAUCCGCCACACUGGAACUGAGACACGGUCCUGACUCCUACGGGAAGCAGCAGUGGGGAAUUUUGCGCAAUGGGCGAAAGCCUGACGCAGCAACGCCGCGUGUGUGAUGAAGGUCUUCGGAUUGUAAAGCACUUUCGACCGGGACGAAACACUUCUGGCUAACAUCCAGAGGCUUGACGGUACCGGGAGAAGAAGCACCGGCUAACUCUGUGCCAGCCGCCGCCGUAAAAC